AUUGAACGCUGGCGGCAUGCCUUACACAUGCAAGUCGAACGGUAACGGGCCUUCGGGUGCCGACGAGUGGCGAACGGGUGAGUAAUACAUCGGAACGUGCCCGAUCGUGGGGGAUAACGAGGCGAAAGCUUUGCUAAUACCGCAUACGAUCUACGGAUGAAAGCAGGGGACCGCAAGGCCUUGCGCGGACGGAGCGGCCGAUGGCAGAUUAGGUAGUUGGUGGGAUAAAAGCUUACCAAGCCGACGAUCUGUAGCUGGUCUGAGAGGAUGAUCAGCCACACUGGGACUGAGACACGGCCCAGACUCCUACGGGAGGCAGCAGUGGGGAAUUUUGGACAAUGGGCGCAAUCCUGAUCCAGCCAUGCCGCGUGCAGGAUGAAGGCCUUCGGGUUGUAAACUGCUUUUGUACGGAACGAAAAGCCUUCUUUUAAUACAGGAGGGUCAUGACGGUACCGUAAGAAUAAGCACCGGCUAACUACGUG
rnacentral:rRNA from 1 species